GGACCGAUAGCGUAGUGGUAGAGCACACGAUUGCAAAUCGUGGGGUCCUGAGAUUAACCCCCUAUCGAGCCU
rfam:Sphaerobolus stellatus SS14 unplaced genomic scaffold SPHSTscaffold_67, whole genome shotgun sequence.